UCCACUCGUCACUCUCCGGCCCCCGCGCCCGGCGGCCCCCGCCCGGGGCAGUAGUUUCCACUACGCUAAAGGGGGAGGUGGUGACGGACUCCUCUAUCUACUUGCCUCGAGGAGGGGGCGUGUGAGGAGCCACCUCCACAGGACGGGGCACUAUGAACGAGGAAGAGCAGUUUGUAAACAUUGAUUUGAAUGAUGACAACGUUUGCAGUGUUUGUAAACUGGGAACAGACAAGGAAACACUCUCCUUCUGCCACCUUUGUUUUGAGCUAAAUAUUGAUGGAAUACCAAAAUCUAAUCUCUUGCACACCAAAUCAUUAAGGGGCCAUAAAGACUGCUUUGAAAAAUACCACUUGAUUGCAAACCAAGAUUGUCCUCGAUCUAAGCUUUCAAAAAGUACUUAUGAAGAAGUUAAAACUAUCUUGAGUAAGAAGAUAAACUGGAUUGUACAGUAUGCACAAAAUAAGGAUCUGGAUUCAGAUUCUGAAUGUUCUAAAAAUCCCCAGCACCACCUCUUUAAUUUCAGGCAUAAUCCAGAUAAAAAGUUACUCCCACAGUUUGACUCUCAAGUACCAAAGUAUUCUGCGAAGUGGAUAGAUGGAAGUGCAGGUGGCCUCUCAAACUGUACACAAAGAAUAUUGAAACAGAGGGAAAAUACGGACUUUGGACUUGCUAUGUUACAAGAUUCAGGUGCCACUUUAUGCCACAAUAGUGUAUCGUGGCCUUGUAGUCACAACCAGGAACAGAAAAAAGAAGAGACAAACUCUAAUCCAGAGGCUAAUGUCCGGAGCCAGCAUCCACAUUACAGCAGAGAGAAACUGAAUUCGAUGACUCUUGGUGAAGUAAAGCAACUGAAUGCAGAGCUCCAACAGCAAAUACAGGAAGUUUUUGAAGAGUUAGCCCACCAAGUGCAAGAAAAAGAUUCUUUGGCCUCACAGCUCCACGUCCGCCACGUUGCCAUCGAACAGCUUCUCAAGAACUAUUCCAAGUUACCAUGUCUGCAAGUGGGACGAACAGGAAUGAAGUCACACCUACCCAUAAACAACUGAACUAAACUUACACUCACUUCCUAUGCCCUGCCGUUCUUUGGUCUGCCAGGCAUGCACACUCGGAAGAAGUUGGAGAGAGUUAUGAGGGUGGGGAUGCUCUGCAUCUGAAUCCCAUUCCAGUGUUCAACUGGCACAGACCACUUUUACCUGUAGAAACAAAAGCUUAACCUGACCUCCCUUGCAUCUGGGAUACUCCGCCCUAAUUGGUAAAGCAAAGAAACUGGAUAAAGGAGGAUCCAUGUUGAGAGCAGCAGCGUCUUAACUACCAACAGGGGAAACAAACGUCUGGUACCCACAUCUAGUGGGGGCAACGGGUAAGCUCCUGGCAUCUGGUGUUGAGUAGCCAUUGCUCUGUGUGACUUUGGUCAUGAAUCUGGCAGCUGAUUAAUCACCUUUGUUGCUGCCCGGUUUCCAAGCUUCCUGGGUGAUCUCUGCCCAUUGAAUAAACUCCUUUUCAGCCUAAAUCAACCAGUUACCUUCUUAGGCUCUCAACUGAGAAUUCUACUACACCUCACUUCAUCCACUGGCUCCAUGUCCAAUGCUCUCCCACUCUGAGAUCUUACAAAACUGGUUUCUGAAGUGAGCUGCUGAGAGCCACCACAUACCUAAACUAUUCCUCAGGACAUGGUCUGCCUGUUGGGUCAGCUGAAACUGAUGGGAAGAUUCUGAAGAGAAAUUAAAACUUUUGGUAACAUAGAUGUCAGUUUUCUUGUUUAAAGCAUUCACUGUUCACAGGUGGGGUGACUUUGGAGAACUUCUUACUAUCCUCCUCUAAUUAUUGAAAGUGCUCACAGUUUGUGUCUACCAGCAUCUUGGAGGAAAUAAUGAUGACCAUAACUUUAGCUUUGGGCUUGGCCUGUGUUCUCCCUGGUAGUACUAAAUGACCCCAGCCCAGCAGGCAUUUGUUGAAUGAACAAGUGCAUGGACUUCAGAGGGAGCACAAGGAUUGCGUGUCCUCUAAAUCAGUAGCGACCUACCCACCCCUAAAAAAUGCCCAAGGCCCUCAUCCAGUGACUGAAUAGUAUGCAUUGUCUCCAUGUACCCCACUGUCCACAACACCUCCAUGACUAUUUCAGGCAUUUGAUGACUAGCACUUGUUCUGCUUCUCCUCGAAACCAGUGGUGCCCUAACUUUGAGUUUCAUGAAGCACACGUCACAUGGCUGCCCCUCCAGAGUUUCUGAAUCAGGUCAAGGGUGGGACCCAAGAAUUUCAUCUGACAAAUUCCCAGGUGAUGCUGAUCCUGCUGGUCUACACAGCACUUUGCAACCCACGGCUCCAAACCAUCCACUGUCCCAGAGUUUACUUCCCAAAAGAUGUGAUAACACUUCUUCCCUGCUCAGACUUCUCUAGAUUGCUACUGCCUAGAGAAUAAAAAUCAACCCUCACAGCUCAGCAUUAAAAGCCCUUACCAUUUGGCUCCCACCUAUUUUCCAUUUUAAUUAUUUCAUCAAAUUGAGAUUUUGUUGUGUUCCAGGAACUCUUAAUAAGCCCUGUAGGCUUUGAGUCUAAGGGAUUAUAAAAGCCAACAAGUCUUUAUUGGCCAACUGAAAAGGGUUAUGCCCAGAGAUAAAUAUAUGAGGAUCGAAAAAGGUCCACUGGAUUUAGCAACAAGGGAUUCAAUGAGAACAGUUUUAAUUGGACCUAGGGGUGCAGAAGUAGAUCACAAUGAGUGGAAGUGUGGGUGGGGAAGUAGGGUGGUAGAUUUGAAGUAACCUCUAAAAAGUUUAACCAGGAAAGUGAGGAAGUCAGGAUUGUGGGCCCAAGGUUUUGUUUUGUUUCAACCUGGGAAGCACUUCAACAUGAAUAAAUACUGAGAAGACAGAUGUAGUGGAAAGGCUAAAGAUGGAAAGGUAGCAAUAAUCAAAGGACCAGAAUCCUGAAGAGGCAGAACAGUAUCACACACCUAGAAUGGACCAUCUUUGAAGAGGUUUAGGGUCGUCUCAGGCUUUGAGUUGGAGAAGAUAAAACUGCAGAUGAAAGUCUUCAAGUGAGAGUCACUGGAGAGUAAGGUGAGAAAGUCCCUACCUGGCUAUUUCUAUUUUCUAUGAGAGAAAAGGAAAAGAUGGGGUCAGAAGCUCAAGAGAGAAGUGUUGGGCUCAGCAGCUGCCAUGUAAGGAUGGGAAAGGUCCUGACUACAACAGGGAGGGCUGCCAGACUGAUUACGUGACGUGGGGAUUGGCACCCAUGGCUUGCCAUGGAUUGAAUUUCUCUGAAUUUGCAUUCAGAUUUUGUUGCUGUAAAUACAGAGGAAUAUUUUUGCAAUUGGAGUAAACUAAACUGAGAGCACUACUGAAAACAGAUUAGAAUCUGAAACUCAGAUAAAUUUGUGGCUCAAAAAUUCACAAAACCAUACCCAACAGAAAAUUUCAAGUUGGUCCUACAGGCAAGAGUGGAUGGACUAAGGACUGUUUUGAAGCCCAAGCCCUUACAGGUCAGUUGGUAUCAAGCUUCAGCAGAAGAAAGUGUGGAAAUGUGUAGUCCAGAUAAAGAGGGGUUUAUUAGAGGCCACUGGUAUACAGAACACGGAAGAAGCCAAGGCACAGCUAAACACAGAGUUUCAGAUCUGUAACUUCAAAGCAAAGAAAAAGAGAUAUAAAAAGAGAAGGGCUCUUCUAGGGGGAAGUCAACUGAAAUGAAAGUGGCGAAGACAAGAAGAGGAAGUUAUGAUGAGCAGGGCCAUUGCUAAACUGAAAUUCAGGAACUUGAGUUCUAACCUUCCUCUGCCACUCUGGGCUCCACUCCACCUCUCUUAGCCAACGAUUUCUCGCCUGUCGAAAGUGAAACUGAACUUGGUGAUUUUUAGGGAAACUUCCAGCUCUUACACUCUAUAAGGAUAAUAAAUUUUAAGAAACCUGUGAUAGAAAAUUUCCUCAGCCUCUGCAUAAACACAGAACUGAACUGAAAGGACACAAAGGAAGUGUGGUUUUAUUAAGAAGAAACAAUGAGGUGCUUUUACAGCAAGAUACUUCUAUCAUCAUCUGUAACAAAAGAGCAAAGAUGGUGGAAGGAGCCUGGCUCAUAAGCAGCUCAUAUCAGGGGAAAAUAUUUGGGGAGACUGUUCUCUUAGGAGUAACAGUGGGGGGUGCUUCUACCACACAGUGAGAAGCUGGGUCACCUACAGCACAAAAGACUGGCCCAGACAUUUCCACCUGUGCAUGGAAAAUGAAAAAUGUAAAGGCAGUGUAGUAAGCUGUUUGGUAGGACAUAAUUUAUUCAGUCAAUCGGACUGUCCUUUAUUCUGAGAUUACAUCUUUCCUAUGAUGGGAGUAGAAAAUUAUCCUUUCCGCUCAAGCAAUAACAACAGUAGAUGGUAAGUUACCAUUUUUAUUUAUUUGUUUGGUUUUGAGUCCUUGGUUAAAUUUUAAACCACAAUCUUACAUGGGUGCAUCACUCAGGGUUCUCCAGAAAAACAAAACCAAUAGGGAUAGGCAGGUAGGUAGGUAGGGUAGGUAGACAGACAAUAGAUAGACAGGCAGACUUGGGGGUAAGGGUUGAUGGAUUUUAGGAAAUUGUCUCACACAAUUGUGGGGGCUGGAAAGUCCAAAAUUUGUAGGGCAGGCUGGAAAUUCUGGCAAGAGUUAAUGUUGCAGUCUUAAACCUGUAAGUAGCCUGGAGGCAGAAUCCCUUCUCCUUCAGGGAAACUUAGCCUUUUCUCUAAAGGCCUUCAACUGAUGGGAUGAGGCCCACCACAAUAUGGAGAUCAUGGAGUAAAAUCUGCUUUAUACAAAGUCUACUGAUUUCAAUAUUAAUCACAUCUAAAACAUAUUUUCACAGCAACAUCUAUACUGGUGUUGACCAAACAACUGGGCACCAAAGCCUAGUCCAGUUGACACAUAAAAUUAACCAUCAUAGUUGGUUACUAUUUUUCAUUUUAUUUUAAUGUUCCCUGAAUUGAAAAAGUCUGGAAACCAUGGAUCUGGCAUUACCUCAUCCAGGCACUGCCCCCAAUCAGCAGCACUGGAAACCCCUCAGCUCAGGUGUCCAGGAUUUCCAGAGGAGGGAACGUACUCAGGAGACUCUUACACUAUUCUGAAUUUUCUAUGCGUUCUAAGAGGGCUGAGAGGGACUUUUCAUUAUUUUGUAAGUAAUCCUUUGUGUAACAAAGACAGUUAUCUAAUUCUCUUUUUCUCUCUUAAUCUGGUGUUAGGUCUUAAAUUAUUUGAAGACUGAAUUUUAUACAAAAAGUAAAAGAUGUAUACAGCCCCUAGUAGAUUCAACACCCAAUAAUUCUAGAUAAAUCACUGAAGGUUUUAGAAUAUUGAAUUUUGGUUUGUACCUGUCUUAUUUUCCUUGCUCUCUCUUACUUCCCCCCACUCCCUGCCACAAGUAAUUCUCCAGUUAUUUUGCAUCAGAGGAAGAUGUCACUCAGUCUGAAACACUGCCAGCCAGCGGCACACAUUCUUGAAAGAAAUGUACCUAGUCCUGGGUGGGAGGAGAGCUGGAGAGUGUCCCGUGACCAACCACUGCUUCUCACAAGACACCAGAAAAAGGAGAGCACUUUCUUAAAAAAAAUCCUUCAAGAACAACUGAGGUGUAACAUAUAUGAAAGCUGAGUGGCUGCCACCCUCAACGUGAAAGACGGUGGAGAUUAUCACAGCACAGCUGCUCCACAUCCUUCUCAGAGACGACCCCUGCCCCCAGGUCCCCAGAACCACCACCAAGAGCCUGGCAGCAGCUCUGAGUGACUGGCAGACCCUGGGUAUCUACAAAGUGCCGACUGGACACUGCUGAUCUCAUCUCUCCCCCUUAGAUGGCCUGAACUGCUUAUGAAACUUCCAAACUCUCUAUAGACCUUAUUAGCCUCAGAGGCAAGGACUGAACCCCAAAUCUCCUGAGCUCCCAUGAGAUGACACCACCUUCACCUGGGAUCCUAGCUUUUACUUCUGUCACACAGAUGUUCUGUCUGAAGGAAUUGUAGGAUUACUUCUCCACACUCUGCACUCUGAGUGACCACAGGAACAGCCAGGAGAGGAAAACGGUGGGAAAAGAAAAAGCAGAACAAGUCUUUCCUGCAAAGAAGAGCAAAGCGUAGUCUGAACCAAGGCAACUGCUGCCGAGUCCAGAGGGUGCCUUAGAUGUCCUCAUUCUGGACGGCAACCAGGACAAGCCACAAGGACAGCUCCCAUCAGAACCUGAAGACAGCAAGUGCCUUUCUCACAUCAGAAAGCCAGUUUUGGCAAUUCAAAAAAUUAGUGAAUACAAUUAUUAGUUACCGUUGGUAAUAAAAUACUAUCCAGCUAACAUUUGUAGAGUCUUAUUGAAGAGCAAAGACUGUUCUUAGUGCUUUAAACCCAUUAUCAUAUUUAACUUUCACAAUUUCUCUGUGAGGUAAGUAUGAUUAUUAGCCCCAUUCUACAGAUGAGGAAGCUGAGGUACGGAGAAUUUAAGAACCUAGUUCCACAUCACACAGUUACCGGGAGUGAACUCGGGGAGUUUAACACUUGUGCUUAUGUAUUUAAUCAUUAUACUGACAGUUUUAAUCCUUAACUCUAACCCUUCGUUCUAUUCGGUCUCACAUUUAACCAAUCAUCUAAGAUCUAUUAAUGUUGCCCCUCAAAACAUGUCUAGGAGCAUCUCUGCCACCAUGACUAAACUAUCUCAGCGUCAAUUCUAACCCUGCUAUGUAACACCUUGGUUAUUAAGAAGCCUUCUCAUUCCCCUCUGUUUUGCACUGAAUGUUUGUGUCCCACCCCCAAAAUUUCAUAUAUUGAAGCCCUAACCCUUAAUGUGAUGGUGUUAGGAGGUGGGGUCUUUGAGAGGUAUUUAGGUUUAGCUGAGGUCAAGAGGGUGGGGCCCAUGAUGGGAUUAGUGCCUCUAGAGGAAGAAGAAGAGAAACGAGAUUUUGCACUUUCCCUCUUUCCUUUCUCUGUCUCUCCCUUUUUCGCUCUUCUACUUUGUGAGGACACAGUGAGAAGGCAGUCAUCCGUAAGCCAGGAAGAGAGCCCUCACCAGGAACCGAAUGGCCAGCAUCCGACCUUGGUCUUGCCAGCCGCCGAAACUAUGAGAACUCCACAUCCAGUUCACUGAUCAACUCUCAAACUGAAGGAUAGCUUGUCAUUACAUCUGCAGUGAGUCACUUGCCUGGGGAAAAGAACAUGCCACACAUUUACAUUUUGGCCUAAGUUUUAUAGGAGCAUUGUGACCAGACCUAUGAGCACACCUGCAAGAACAAAGGGUUUUGGCACCAAGAAGUUUGCAACAACCAGCCAUACCCCUCCCCUUUUAAAAGAAGCCUGAGUUCUAACUUGGGUAACAUGGUUCUUUGGGACACUAGUCCACCGUCUUCUCAGUCUGCUGGCUUUCUGAAUAAAGUCGCUGUUCCUUGCUCCAA